CCUGGCUUGGCCUGCUUCUGUGCUUCUAAGAUACUUUGAUAUACGUACACACGUUUUUCAUUGCAUGGAGGAAACAUUACUACCUCCUAGUAUUGGUGGAGCAAACUGCUGUUACAGAGGCUGACCCCAUAUCCUUGGCUUCAAUAUUUAUCCUUUAUAAAGGUGCUUCAAGAGGAGGCUUUUCCUGUGCAAUUAACCUGGUUUGUUCAUGCAGUAUAUCGGGGGGGGGGGGCUGAGAAUGUCAUCUUCACUAGUAACCAUCCUGUAUUUAUCCUCUUCUACUUUUUUUUUCUAUAACAUGAAGAAAAACUGGGAACAGGGAAGCUUUUGAUUGUUAUUGCUGACAGUCCUCUGUCUGAAACCAUAAUUGCUAUCUUUCUAUUGUAAUAUUGUGAUGCUAUCAUUUGAUAUUCUUGUUGAUUAUUGAUUACUUUUUAUUAAUUUAUCUUCCAGGACACAUAUGUGGCCCUUGCAUUUCUGAAUUCUUUACAUAGAUGAAGCCAAAUGCCUACUCUACAAUGUCACUAUUUUUAACCUUAUUUAAGCAUUAUUUCCACAAGGAUAUCCAUUAUCACAUUCAGACAAGCUAUUCCCACCUUUGCUUCAGUCCAACUUCACGGUUGUAUACAAGGAGGACUGUUCUUGUGCCAUAAUUGAAAGUGCAGAAAACUAGAGGAAGUAGCCCCAAAUUCAUAUUUGCUUUUAAACUUUUUAAAAAGGUUCUAACCUUCAUGUUGUGAAGGUAGGCUGCUGUGGUUGGAUGCUGGGCAUAAAACGUGGUGGCUAUUAGGUGUAGUGCCAGGAUUCUGGAAUGCAUACAGUGGUACGGGGGGAGGUAUUAAUAAAUUCAAGAGGGUGCUUGCAACUGUAUUGGAAACCCUGCCCCUUUUUAAGGGCAAUACAACACAAUAUGUGUAAAAAAGGGACAGGGCUUUGAACACACAAUUGCCCCCAUAAUCUUGGGUUGUUUUUUUAACUCCUCCCCCCUGCCCUCCAUGGAUGCUCCUGAAUGCAUAGUAUUGUGUGCUCUCAAGAAUGCCUCCAAAACAUUGUAUUCCCUUAUUUUCACUGCCUUAACUGCUGGGUUAGUCCCAGGAGUAACAAAAGAUGAGUGUGUGUGAGAGAGUUGCAGGAUGUUUAGGAACCCCCAAAAAGCGUUUCUGCUUUUAUCCUAUCUGUUGUCUGGGGAUGGGAAGUAUUUAUUGAAAAGUUGUAAAAAAUAUAUAGAGGUUUAUACAUUCUGGUAGUUUAUUUUUUAAUCCCACCAAUAAAGAUUGCUAAUUUCAAUGA